rnacentral:rRNA from 1 species
AUUGAACGCUGGCGGCAGGCCUAACACAUGCAAGUCGAGCGGAUGAAGGGAGCUUGCUCCUGGAUUCAGCGGCGGACGGGUGAGUAAUGCCUAGGAAUCUGCCUGGUAGUGGGGGAUAACGUCCGGAAACGGGCGCUAAUACCGCAUACUUCCUGAGGGAGAAAGUGGGGGAUCUUCGGACCUCACGCUAUCAGAUGAGCCUAGGUCGGAUUAGCUAGUUGGUGGGGUAAAGGCCUACCAAGGCGACGAUCAGUAACUGGUCUGAGAGGAUGAUCAGUCACACUGGAACUGAGACACGGUCCAGACUCCUACGGGAGGCAGCAGUGGGGAAUAUUGGACAAUGGGCGAAAGCCUGAUCCAGCCAUGCAGCGUGUGUGAAGAAGGUCUUCGGAUUGUAAAGCACUUUAAGUUGGGAGGAAGGGCAGUAAGUUAAUACCUUGCUGUUUUGACGUAACCAACAGAAUAAGCACCGGCUAACUGCGU